ACAGCCUGAAGCUAGCACAGGUUGAGUGUAUGGAUUAUAUUAUCGUAUUUACAUAUGAUUGACUGUGUAUCUCUUUUGCUUUUCAGUGUCUUCUGAGAAACAACCAGCCUGUAAGGUUACAAGUGACCAGAAAGAUUCUAUUUUGAAUAUCGCCACAGAAAUAAAGGAUGGACAAAAAUCUGGGACAGUGUCUUCUGAGAAACAACC